UACGUAGGGGGCAAGCGUUUGUCCGGAUUUACUGGGCGUAAAGAGCGUGUAGGCGGCCAAGCAGGUCCGUUGUGAAAACUGGAGGCUUAACCUCCAGACGUCGACGGAAACCGCGUGGCUAGAGUCCGGAAGAGGAGAGUGGAAUUCCUGGUGUAGCGGUGAAAUGCGCAGAUAUCAGGAAGAACACCAAUGGCGAAGGCAGCUCUCUGGGAACGGUACUGACGCUGAGACGCGAAAGCGUGGGGAGCGAACAGG
rnacentral:rRNA from 1 species